CCUGUACUACUUCAUACCUUCAAACAGUCCGAAGGACAGACCAUGCACUACAUGCUGUCCGUGGACCGGAGACUUCCCACAGCACGGGAGCGCCUCCCCCACUGAGGAGGCUCAUAGGGGAGAAGAGGGGAGGCUGAAGCUUGGUGCUGAGCUCUGCUAUGUGGGGGGGAGCCUGCAGGGUUUUCUCUGCAGUGACCCCCUCCAUGUUAGAGUGUCGUAGACCCUGGGUCUGGAGUCUCUCUUAUCCAGGAAGAGAGCGAAAUGCAGGAUUAAAAUCAGAGAGAGGCUAAUGUCCAGGAGGAGACAGGAGCCCCAAGUAAGGGUCCUUGCUCCAUUUUUAUUGGGAUCAGAUGGCUUACAGCGUGAUGGACGUGCACAAAGAGACAUGAAACGAUGGGUCCUAAUCCAAUAUGACUAGCACCUUUAUAAGAGGAUAUUUGGACACAAGGGAGACACCAGGGACGUGCUUGCACAGAAGGACCAUGUGAGGACACAGCAAGAAGUCAACCAUCUGCAAGCCAAGGAAAGGGGUCUCAGAAGAAACCAACCUUGCUGACACCUUGAUCUUGGACUUCCAGUCUUCAAAACUAUGAGAAAACAAGUGUCUGUUGGUUAAGCCGCCCAGCCUGUGGUAUUUUGUUCUGGCAGCCCUUGCAAACUAAUGUAGACAUUAGGAAAACA